CAUAAUGCCGAUAAUGGAUGCCUAGGAGGUUUUGGCCGAGGAAGGACGCAUAUGGCGGCGAUACUCGUCGGGUAGGAGUCAUAAUCCUGUAAUCCGGCGGUUUCCGAAUCGAGCAAUCGACCGCGUCAAACGCGGGAACCAAACAUAAAAGUUCAGCCUUUGGCUGAUAAUAGUGUUUGGUAGGGUACCCGGGGAACUGAAACAUCUAAGUACCCGGAGGAAAAGAAAUCAUAGAGAUUCCCUAAGUAGCGGCGAGCGAAAAGGGAGAAGUCUAAACCGAGCUCAGCUCGGGGUUGCAGGGCAGACGAUAUUUGGUGUUUUAUAUAGCAGAACAGCUUGGAAUAGCUGACCAUAGAGGGUGAAAGUCCUGUAUGCGAAAUGUAAGACACUGAUAGUUUGUACCUAAGUACCAUGGAGGAAGUACUCUGUGGGAAUCUGGGGCGACCACGUUCCAAGACUAAAUACCAAGACCUACCGAUAGUGAACUAGUACCGUGAGGGAAAGGUGAAAAGCACCCCGGGAGGGGGAUGAAAUAGACCUGAAAUUGUCGGCUGACAAGCAGAGAGAGCCGGAGGACAGAGUACAGAAGUCAGAGGACAGAUUGCAGAGAAACAGAAGACAGAAGAUCAGGAUUAAAAUCUUGAUGUUUUGUAUCUCUGUCAUCUGAUAUCCGUCUUCCGUUAUUCUGUCUUCUGUCCUCUGGUGAUCUCGUGCCUAUUGAAGAAUGAACCGGUGAGUUAUCUUAGUGUGCGUUUAAGCUUAAGCCAGUUUCUGGCGGAGGCGUAGUGAAAGCAAGCUCUAACCGAGCUACUUAGUACAUUGGGAUAGACCCGAAACCGGGUGAGCUAACCUUGAGCAGGGUGAACCCCGAUGAAAGUCGGGGGAAGGCCCGCACUCGUAUCCGUAGCAAUGGGUUGAGAUGACUUGAGGUUAGAGGCAAUAUGCCAAACGAACCCGGAGAUAGCUGGUUCUCCCCGAAAUAUAUUUUGGUAUAGCGGGACGAUACAAUGAUCUAGGGGUAGAGCACUGAAUGGUCUUCGGCGGCGCAAGCUGUCGUAACCAAUCAAACUCCGAAUACUAGAUUAUAUUCGUUCUAGUCAGGCUGGUCGGGCUAAGCUGAUCAGUCAAAAGGGAAACAGCCCAGACUCCCAUCUAAGGCCUCUAAAUAAAGGCUAAGUUUUGAAGGAAGUUACAAUCCAGAGACAACCAGGAGGUUGGCUUAGAAGCAGCCAUCCUUUAAAGAAAGCGUAACAGCUCACUGGAGGAUGUCCACGUCUAACGUGGCAGGUUUGUAGCGCCGAAAAUGUAACGAGGAUUAAGCCUUUUGCCGAAGAUGGAGGUCCGCCUUUGGCGGACGGUAGGGGAGCGUUCGUAUUGCCGCGAAGCUGUGUUGUAAGGCAUGGUGGAGCGAUACGAAGUGAGAAUGCCGGUAUGAGUAGCGAGAUCCCGGUGAGAAACCGGGACGCCGAAAACCCAAGGUUUCCUCCGCACUGUAAGUCAGCGGAGGGUGAGUCGGCCCUAAGGGUGUUCCGAGCUAAUCUCGGGGUAACCCGAUGGACAAGUCGUUGAUAUUCGACUACAUAAGAGAAUGCGUUAUAACUCAAGGAUUGACCAGAGUGGAAGAGGAUUUGCCGCUAUAUGCGACACCAAGUUACAAAGUAGUUUUGAUUGGAAAAUCCGUCAGAGUGUCUAACUGAGUGGCGAUGGGAAGUUCCCGCGUCAAACGCGGGGACAACAUUCUAAGCUUUCAGUCCGCGAGAAAAGAUUCGUGAGGAGUGUUCUUUUAUUCCGUACCGUAAACCGACACAGGUGGGUUGGUCGAGAAGACUAAGGCGACCGGGAGACAGCAGAUCAAGGAACUCGGCAAAAAAACUGGGCGUAACCUUUGGGAGAUGCCCUGCCUUGUGCGGAGCACAAGGAAAUUCUAAGCACUAAUAUCUAAAUUCUAAAUAAUAUCAAAAUUACAAUGUUCAAAAUUCUAAAACGUUUGUAAAUUUGGAUUUUUGAAAGUGUAAUUUAUUUAGGAUUUAUGAUUUUGAAAUUAGGAUUUUCUUGCGUUCCGCGCGAGGCCACAGCAAAAGUUUAUUUAGCGACUGUUUAUCUAAAACAUAGGUCUCUGCAAAAGCGAAAGCUAACGUAUAGGGGCUGACACCUGCCCAGUGCUGGUAAGUUAAUCGUUGUGGGUGACCCUCGCAAGGGGGAGGCUCGCGGCGAAAGCUCCAGUGAACGGCAGCAGUAACUAUAACUGUUCUAUGGUAGAGUUUGAAAGAAAACUCCGCUGCCAUAGUGAGGUAUGUCCGCCAUUUGGUGGAAGAAUCCUCCAUUUCCCAUGUCUAGCCGAGGCAUGAAAAUGAAAAUCUGACCAUAUGCUGGAAAGUCUUGCAAUUCUGGAUCUACUAUGGUAACUUAGAAUUAUAGAUGAGUUCACCAAGUGACAAUGAUACCAGUAGAGAUAAUCAGCAGGAAAGACUUGGAACUGCAAAUUGGAUUGUAGGGUUUGUUGAUGGAGAAGGAUGUUUCUCUGUCUCAAUUUUUAAGAAUCUCAAAAGUUCUAAGAAUCCUCAGAGACUAUACGUCAGACUCCAAUAAAAACUGGGGAAGAUAUAGUCCAUUUAGAUUGAUUUGGCAAUCUGAUCGAGCGAAGUUCCUUGUCGGGCGAAAAGUUUGCGGGUCACGUAAGCUUGCCCGAAUGUAUCGAAAGAUACAGCACUUAGGAAUAGAACAAAAACAGUCGAGAAAGAGUUCUACAAAAGUAAAGUGCAAAAUCUGGCUAUAUGCUGGAAUUACUCUGUAUCCGACAGUACUUUAGAUCCUGAUAUCUAAGUCUAGGAUGAUAAGUAACAAUCUGUUUGGUGGAGUCAAUCAGCAGGGAAGACUCGCCUCAGGCGAGAACCCUCAGAGACUACAUGCCAGAAUUCCAUAAAGUGGAGGAUGAUAUAGUCCGAACUCAUAGGCGACUAUGAGGCUUGAAA
rnacentral:rRNA from 1 species